rnacentral:rRNA from 1 species
UACGUAGGGGGCUAGCGUUGUCCGGAAUCAUUGGGCGUAAAGCGCGUGUAGGCGGCCCGGUAAGUCCGCUGUGAAAGUCGGGCUCAACCCUCGGAAGCCGGUGGAUACUGUCGGGCUCGAGUACGGAAGAGGCGAGUGGAAUUCCUGGUGUAGCGGUGAAAUGCGCAGAUAUCAGGAGGAACACCAAUUGCGAAGGCAGCUCGCUGGGACGUAACUGACGCUGAGACGCGAAAGCGUGGGGAGCAAACAGG